UACUAAGCUGCCAGUGGCUUGUCGGCGACGAGGUCACACAAGGAAGACGAAACAAGGCGGCCGGCCAUGACUUGACCAAAGUCCUUCGCCGGCGACUCCAUCCACCGCUGCUCUCUCUCCGACGCGGACGGCGACGCCCGACAUCCUUGUCCAAUCCGGUGCAGCGUUCGAUGUCACCAUUCUAGUGCCAUGAUCGUGAACCACUACCAUCCACCCGUAAACUAAGCCAGACGGCAGAGGACAGCUAUGCUGGCAUAUUCUGGCUCCAAUGUCUGAUUCCCGUGGUGGCAUCUUCAAUAGCGAAGUGAUUUUUUGUUCUAUUCCUUGACCUGGAUGGGGGUGUUCCUGGCGACGAGCGAGUUGCUCCCUGCCUAUCCCAUAAACUGUAUUGGAUAAUAAUUCCAUGGUUUGAGCUCCCUGUUGUCUCCUGCUGCUUGUCUUGUACCUUCCUUAGAGACUCAAUAUUGCCAUCGCCAUCCGCCAGAGGAAUAAGGUAAUUAGGCCGGCACAGGAGACACCAAACUCUGGUGUCAGUGUUUAUAAUUCGCUGGUGCUAACCAUGUUUAUUCACAUGAAUCAUCACCGUGAAGAUCUGAAGUUCAAUUAGUCA